rnacentral:rRNA from 1 species
AGUUACCAGCACGUUAUGGUGGGCACUCUAAGGAGACUGACCGGUGACAAACCGGAGGAAGUGGGGGAUGACGUCAAGUCAUCAUGGCCCUUACGGCCUGGGCUACACACGUGCUACAAUGGUCGGUACAAAGGGUUGCCAAGCCGCGAGGUGGAGCUAAUCCCAUAAAACCGAUCGUAGUCCGGAUCGCAGUCUGCAACUCGACUGCGUGAAGUCGGAAUCGCUAGUAAUCGUGAAUCAGAAUGUCACGGUGAAUACGUUCCCGGGCCUU